rnacentral:rRNA from 1 species
UACGUAGGUGACCAGCGUUGUCCGGAUUUACUGGGCGCAAAGAGCGCGCAGGCGGUCGUUCAAGUCGAGUGUGAAAGCCCCCGGCUCAACUGGGGAGGGUCAUUCGAUACUGAUCGACUCGAAGGCAGGAGAGGGAAGCGGAAUUCCCGGUGUAGUGGUGAAAUGCGUAGAUAUCGGGAGGAACACCAGUGGCGAAGGCGGCUUCCUGGCCUGUUCUUGACGCUGAGGCGCGAAAGCUAGGGGAGCAAACGGG